rnacentral:lncRNA from 1 species
GUGAGCCACUCUUUCUGCAGAUGCAAGUGAGCCAAUUAAUGAUUUACAGUGUUUUGAAGGUAAGCAUCAUAUGUACUAAGAAUAAUAUUAUUGCUUGAUGUUCUGCAUCGUGUUUUAUUAAAAACAAACUGUCAUAUCAGAUAACUGCUUGGCUUAAGCUGCUGAAACUGGUAAUUGUCUAGAUGUUUGUUCAAACACUGACAAUCCCUGCUCAGGAGUAAGUCCUUAGCAGUGGUAGUGCUGAAGCUGUGGUUAUCAAGGGACAGAGAUAAGCAACGUUUGUAGAGAGGUAAUAUCGCUGGACACAGCUGGGGAAAAAAAAGCCAAACCAGAUAACCUUCCCAACAGAAGCCCUUCACGUGUCCUUUACACGUGCAAGUAACUCCACAAACAAUUUAGGCCUUUGUGCAUUUCAGUGCUUUGUAAAGCCAUAUGCUGAAUUUUCAGCAGCUUCUUCCGCAGAGCAUCUUUUUCUUACCAGGAAUUCACAGUUAAAGCUUUUCAGUAAACAAUGCACACAGUGGGGCUCACUUACAUGGCACUUUCCUGACAGAUGCUACGGACUGCGGCCGAUCACUAUUGGACUCACAGUUUGCUUUCCAUGAGGGGACAUUUUCAUAUAUAAAUGCCACUAUCCUUCAGAUAGAAUUUAUAAUUUCUUGUGAUAUUGCACAACACUGUCACUAUCCGUACACUACUUUUGUUCUGUUUGAGUAGAACAACACUCAGGAAUUGUGUGGUUGGUUACCCUGGCUGCACAGUGCCUGAACCCAAGGGAUAAAGACAAUAAAACAAUUCAUCAGUGAGCUGUAAACUGGGGCAGUUCUUUUUCUUUUGUACACAAAAUCACAUUUUGGAGUUCUUCUCACAAAGUCAGCAGUAAAAGAUCUCACUUUUUCACACUAAAACUAAGAAAAAGGAGAAAGGUGAUCCACAAAAUUAAUUGGUGACCCUAAAAUUAAUUCUGUUUCACAGAAAAUUACUAUGAAGGCAUGUAUAAGAACCAGUCAACAUCCACAUCUUGUCACAUUUAGUUCUGGAUAUCAACAAAGCAUUGCUCAGGAACCAUCAGCAUCCAGAGUACAGAUAACAGCCGGAGAACAAAGAGCUCACACUCAAUUGAGGAUCCUUCAGGAAGUUGUGAGUGUUGACACAGUUAAGGGGCUGUUACGAGUACUUCUUUUGAAUGUGGAAAGCAGAGCAUUAAUAACAGCAAGAAGUUUCUUAUUUCUUUUGUCUGAGCUCCAGAGUUACAUAUGCUACAAGAACUUGUAGAUUUAAAGGUAUGCGUUGUAUACAAGUGAAUAAAAAUACAGCCCUAACAUUUGUAAUGUAUCUG